GACGAACCGUCCAAACGUUACUCGGAAUUACUGGGCUUAAAGGGUGCGUAGGCUGCGCGGAAAGUUGGGUGUGAAAUCCCUCGGCUCAACCGGGGGAGUGCAUCCAAAACUACCGUGCUCGAGGGAGACAGAGGUAAGCGGAACUCAAGGUGGAGCGGUGAAAUGCGUUGAUAUCUUGAGGAACACCGGUGGCGAAGGCGGCUUACUGGGUCUCUUCUGACGCUGAGGCACGAAAGCUAAGGUAGCAAACGGG
rnacentral:rRNA from 1 species